rnacentral:rRNA from 1 species
AACGAACGCUGGCGGCAGGCUUAACACAUGCAAGUCGAGCGCCCCGCAAGGGGAGCGGCAGACGGGUGAGUAACGCGUGGGAAUCUACCCAUCCCUACGGAAUAACGCAUGGAAAAGUGUGCUAAUACCGUAUACGUCCUUCGGGAGAAAGAUUUAUCGGAGAUGGAUGAGCCCGCGUUGGAUUAGCUAGUUGGUGGGGUAAAGGCCUACCAAGGCGACGAUCCAUAGCUGGUCUGAGAGGAUGAUCAGCCACACUGGGACUGAGACACGGCCCAGACUCCUACGGGAGGCAGCAGUGGGGAAUAUUGGACAAUGGGCGCAAGCCUGAUCCAGCCAUGCCGCGUGAGUGAUGAAGGCCCUAGGGUUGUAAAGCUCUUUCACCGGUGAAGAUAAUGACGGUAACCGGAGAAGAAGCCCCGGCUAACUUCGUGCCAGCCGCCGCCGUAAGAC